GACGAACGCUGGCGGCGUGCUUAACACAUGCAAGUCGAACGGAAAGGCCCUGCUUUUGUGGGGUGCUCGAGUGGCGAACGGGUGAGUAACACGUGAGUAACCUGCCCUUGACUUUGGGAUAACUUCAGGAAACUGGGGCUAAUACCGGAUAGGAGCUCCUGCUGCAUGGUGGGGGUUGGAAAGUUUCGGCGGUUGGGGAUGGACUCGCGGCUUAUCAGCUUGUUGGUGGGGUAGUGGCUUACCAAGGCUUUGACGGGUAGCCGGCCUGAGAGGGUGACCGGCCACAUUGGGACUGAGAGACGGACCAGACUCGUACGGGAGGCAGCAGUGGGGAAUAUUGCACAAUGGGCGGAAGCCUGAGGCAGCAACGCCGCGUGCGGGAUGACGGCCUUCGGGUUGUAAACCGCUUUCGCCUGUGACGAAGCGUGAGUGACGGUAAUGGGUAAAGAAGCACCGGCUAACUACGUG
rnacentral:rRNA from 1 species